UACGGAGGGGGCUAGCGUUGUUCGGAAUUACUGGGCGUAAAGCGCACGUAGGCGGAUCAGUUAGUCGGGGGUGAAAUCCCGGGGCUCAACCCCGGAACUGCCUUCGAUACUGCUGGUCUGGAGUCCGAGAGAGGUGAGUGGAAUUCCGAGUGUAGAGGUGAAAUUCGUAGAUAUUCGGAGGAACACCAGUGGCGAAGGCGGCUCACUGGACCGGUACUGACGCUGAUGCGCGAAAGCGUGGGGAGCAAACGGG
rnacentral:rRNA from 1 species